CAGGGUGUGUGAAUUCUCUUGAACUCUCUUCAGAAUGAUGUGGGUUCCUUUGGUUUUCUUGUUCUCAUUGUUCUCAGGUUCUGAGUCCCAGCUGGUGGUAACCCAACCAACCUCAGUGUCAGAAUCUCUGGGAUCAACAGUUAGGAUCUCUUGUGCUUUCAACGGUGGCAGCAGCUUCAAUGAUCAAAGGGUUCACUGGCACCAACAGCAGUCUGGGGGUGCCCCACGGUUCAUAUAUCAUUAUCGUCAUGGCAGCACCCAGGGCAGGGGCUCAGGGGUCCCCGAGAGAUUCACUGUCUCCCCUGAACCCUCCAACAACCUCUGGUAUUUGGUGAUCACAGGGGUCCAAGCUGAGGAUGAGGCUGAUUAUUAUUGCUGUUCCUGGGAUAAUAAGCUCAGCAAGUACCACAGUCCAAGUUUCCAGCAAUUGCAGUCCCUGAAACCUUCAGAGACGGUGUCUCUAGGGGGGUCUAUCACGCUUUCUUGCAGAUAUAGCAGUGGAACCAUCACUAGUGGCAAUUACCCUCGAUGGGUCCAACAGAACCCAGGGAAAACUCCAAGACAUCUUAUAUACCAAACCAGUAGAGUAUCUGGCAUCCCAGACCGUUUCAGUGGGUCAAUGUCUGGGAACACAAUGUCCCUGGCAAUCAGUGGGGCUCAGGCAGAAGAUGAAGCUGAUUAUUACUGUUGGUUGUGGAUUGGGAGUGAGCAGCACAGUGAUUCAUUCAAAUGA